GCAGUCGAACGCCCCGCAAGGGGAGUGGCAGACGGGUGAGUAACGCGUGGGAACAUACCCUUUCCUGCGGAAUAGCUCCGGGAAACUGGAAUUAAUACCGCAUACGCCCUACGGGGGAAAGAUUUAUCGGGGAAGGAUUGGCCCGCGUUGGAUUAGCUAGUUGGUGGGGUAAAGGCCUACCAAGGCGACGAUCCAUAGCUGGUCUGAGAGGAUGAUCAGCCACAUUGGGACUGAGACACGGCCCAAACUCCUACGGGAGGCAGCAGUGGGGAAUAUUGGACAAUGGGCGCAAGCCUGAUCCAGCCAUGCCGCGUGAGUGAUGAAGGCCUUAGGGUUGUAAAGCUCUUUCACCGGAGAAGAUAAUGACGGUAUCCGGAGAAGAAGCCCCGGCUAACUUCGUGCCAGCAGCCGCGGUAAUACGAAGGGGGCUAGCGUUGUUCGGAAUUACUGGGCGUAAAGCGCACGUAGGCGGAUAUUUAAGUCAGGGGUGAAAUCCCAGAGCUCAACUCUGGAACUGCCUUUGAUACUGGGUAUCUUGAGUAUGGAAGAGGUAAGUGGAAUUCCGAGUGUAGAGGUGAAAUUCGUAGAUAUUCGGAGGAACACCAGUGGCGAAGGCGGCUUACUGGUCCAUUACUGACGCUGA
rnacentral:rRNA from 1 species